UACGUAGGUCCCGAGCGUUGUCCGGAUUUAUUGGGCGUAAAGCGAGCGCAGGUGGUUUAUUAAGUCUGGUGUAAAAGGCAGUGGCUCAACCAUUGUAUGCAUUGGAAACUGGGAGACUUGAGUGCAGAAGAGGAGAGUGGAAUUCCAUGUGUAGCGGUGAAAUGCGUAGAUAUAUGGAGGAACACCGGUGGCGAAAGCGGCUCUCUGGCCUGUAACUGACACUGAGGCUCGAAAGCGUGGGGAGCAAACAGG
rnacentral:rRNA from 1 species